GGCCAGGUGGGGGCCCAGAGUGGGAGGCCAGGGUGGGCAAGAGGGUGCUGGGGACUAACGGGCAGGUGAGGAGGGAGCAAGAGCAGAGGUGAGGCAGGCCCUGAGGACCGCGCCCCGAGGCGGGCACCUGAGCAGCGAGAGGGAGCAGAGGGCAUGCUCUGAGAAGAACAGGGACGACCGCAGACAGGAGACCCAGGAGGGCCGGGCACCUGUGUCCAGUGCUGCGGAGACGGCCAAGCGUGGGUGCCGCCCCCACAGUACAGCCAGAACCCUCCCCACCGCCCCUCCCACCCAAGUCCUCACCACCUGCCCUGGAGCUGCUUUAUGGCAGCAGCUUCCUGCCACCCCCCUCGCUCCCAGUCUCCAUUCCCCCAGGGCAGCCAAGGGGAGCCUGGCCACACCUAAGCCAGUCACACUCCUCCUCUGCUCCACACCCUCCCAUGGCUCCCACGUCCCUCAGAGCGAGAGCCAAAGUCUGCACCCCCACCUCCGAUGUUCUAGAGAUCUGCCACCCUCACCCCACCCCGGCUCUCCAACCUUGUCUCUCCCACUUUCCCCUGCUGUGUUUCAGCCAUGCUGGCCUCCUUGCUGCUCCGUGAGCAAGCCAAGCCUAUUCGCACCUCAGGGCCUUUGCACCUGCCCUGCCCACUGCAUGGAACAUGCUUCUUUGAGACUUUGCAAAGCUCCAUCCCUCCCCUCUUCAGUGAGGCCUUUCCUGGCUGCCUUGUGCAACACGUCCCCAGCCGCAGCACUCUGCACCCUCUGCCUUGAGCAUUUCCCUCCACAGCGUGUAUGUGAAGAGUCCUAUAUACGUGCAUGAACUGUGAAUGCUGCUGUGUCUGUCAGCCCGGGCCAGCUCCAGUGUCUGCUCUGCUCACCGUCGUGUCCCCAUGCCUAGAAGAGCACCUGUCCCAGGAAGCCAGGAGGUGUACAGACCAGGCCUGGGCAGCUACUCAACAUUAUCCUCAAGUACUUGGGCUCCACUCCACUCUACUCUACCUUCCUUCAGGCGUGCACUGAAGGGGUUUUCACUCAAGGCACAAAGGAACGGCAGAGGGAGCCGCGUCAGCCCCGCAGGAUCAGCCUUCUGACUCAUCCGUCCUUUCUGUGAAGGCAGAAGAACUUCUCAUUCCACUGAAGGUGGCAGGAGGACAGGAGAAGCCAGGAGGUGCCCAGCGCUGCAGAGCUGACAUGGGAGUGCUUCUAGAGACCACCUCAUCCCACAGAGGCUCAGAGAGGGGAUGAUGACGCUGGGGCCCUGGAGAAGACGGGCCUGGCCGCAGGUCUCCGGAACAUCAGGGGCCAGGUGGGCUCCAGCUCUGGUAACACGUCCCACCCCUUGCCAGGCUUGGCUGUGCACUUGUUACACAGGGGCCAGACUUCCGGGUGGAGUAUCGGCUCCGCCCCCCUCAAGCUGGGUGACUUUGGACAACGACCUCUCUGGGCUGCGUUUGCCCUGUCGUAAAUGCGAACAGUCGAAGUCUCAGCGCCCACUGCACAGGUGCUACAAAGGUUAAGCGAGGUGGUCCGUGUACAGUGUGAAGAAUGGUGCCCACACCUGGAAAUGGGCAGGAACUGCACGUUUUCACUAGGUGCGGUGGACAGUGCUGGGCGCGGCAAACACUUUCUCGCCUGCCUUCCUCACCACACCCCGGAAAGUGCCCCCGCCUGCAGCUGGGGAGACUGAGACGCAGAGGGAAGCCCAGUGUGCAGCGCUCCCUGCCCCUGUGCGUCCUGCUGGACAACACAGCAAGGCCAUCCGCCCUUGGUCACUGCCCACCUGCUUCCAGGUUCACAGUUAUUCUAACUCUCAUUUCCAAGCACCCAUCUGGGCUUGGAGAAGCCCCGGGAAUGGUGCAGACGAUGGCCCUGGUUUUCCUGUCAUGGAGAGACCAGGGCUGACCUUCAGCGACUACCCACCGCUGCCUGGACCUUCCGUAAGCAAACAAAUACAUUAAAAAGACAAAUUCCCAAAGUGAUCAUGCCAGGUGAAGAAAAAUAGGCAGUGAAGAGAUGAGGACAGGGUAGGUACAUUAAGCUAGGGUAGGUGGCCACGGAAAACCUCUCAGGACAUACUGUUUGAGUUGUGGAGAAAAAGACAGAUCAGGCUAGCUGAAGGAAGCAAUCCCAACCAGGGAAAAGAGUGGUGCAAAGGCCCUGGGGCAGGCAUGUGUUUGACAUCUUUGAGGACCAGAGAGGUGGCUGGCACAGUAGUGCAUAGAAUAAACUGGAAGAGGCACAGAGCAGGAGGAGAUGAGGCUGAUGUUAAGGAUCCCAGGAACGAAGCCACUUCUCCCGACGGUACAGCUCUUCCAAAGCAGGGGCGGAUUACACUUGAAAGGGGAAACAAAUGUGGCAUGCAUACAUCAUUUCUGAUUCCAGAAUGUUUUGCAUAAAAGCUAACACACAGCUCCUGGGCACAGGCACUGUUAUCAAGAAUCAAACAUUAAAAAUGCACACUCUUUGAACGGACAAUUUUGCUUCCUGACACUGAUUCUAAAGAAGCAGCGUUGGAUGGAGAUGAAAAUUCAGCUCCAAGGUGACUGGGGCAUGCUCAUCACAGCCGGGAAACCCCAGCAAACGCUAAGCGCCCAAGGAGGGAUGGCUGCACGCGCUGCACUGCCCCAGGCUGCGGGAUCUUACGCGGCCGUGUGAAACGGCAUUGCAGAGAAACGCUUAACAGCACAGAAAGACACGCACCACACACUGUGAAAACGAAAACAGCUGGUCCCUUCUCUCUAAAUAUAAAUAUUCGUGUACAGGCAUAAAAAGAGAUUAGAAAUGCUAAUGUUA